rnacentral:rRNA from 1 species
GAUGAACGCUGGCGGCGUGCCUAAUACAUGCAAGUCGAGCGAACGGACGAGAAGCUUGCUUUUCUGAUGUUAGCGGCGGACGGGUGAGUAACACGUGGAUAACCUACCUAUAAGACUGGGAUAACUUCGGGAAACCGGAGCUAAUACCGGAUAAUAUUUUGAACCGCAUGGUUCAAAAGUGAAAGACGGUCCUGCUGUCACUUAUAGAUGGAUCCGCGCUGCAUUAGCUAGUUGGUAAGGUAACGGCUUACCAAGGCAACGAUGCAUAGCCGACCUGAGAGGGUGAUCGGCCACACUGGAACUGAGACACGGUCCAGACUCCUACGGGAGGCAGCAGUAGGGAAUCUUCCGCAAUGGGCGAAAGCCUGACGGAGCAACGCCGCGUGAGUGAUGAAGGUCUUCGGAUCGUAAAACUCUGUUAUUAGGGAAGAACAUAUGUGUAAGUAACUGUGCACAUCUUGACGGUACCUAAUCAGAAAGCCACGGCUAACUACGU